rnacentral:tRNA from 1 species
GCCUGGGUGGCUCAGUUGGUUGAGCGUCUGACUUCGGCUCAGGUCAGGAUCCCCCAUUUUGUGGGUUCGAGCCCCCUGUCGGGCU